rnacentral:piRNA from 1 species
UGGUAUCAGAUACGAAAGGGC